rnacentral:rRNA from 1 species
AAGUCGUAACAAGGUCUCCGUUGGUGAACCAGCGGAGGGAUCAUUAUCGAGUUAUUCAACUCCCAAACCCUAUGUGAACUUACCACUUGUUGCUUCGGCGCGCGCUUCGGCGCCGCCGAGGACACUUAAACUCUUUGUUUUUAUAAGCAUUUCUGAGUGGCCGAAAGGCAAAAAUACAAAUGAAUCAAAACUUUCAACAACAGAUCUCUUGGUUCUGGCAUCGAUGAAGAACGCAGCGAAAUGCGAUAAGUAAUGUGAAUUGCAGAAUUCAGUGAAUCAUCGAAUCUUUGAACGCACAUUGCGCCCGCCAGCAUUCUGGCGGGCAUGCCUGUUCGAGCGUCAUUUCAACCCUCGAGCCCGACUCUUUUGAGGACGGCUCGGCGUUGGGGGACGGCAGACUCCCCCCGGCAUCUCGCCGGGGACGCCGCCCCCGAAAUCUAGUGGCGGCCCUCCGAGGCGACCUCUGCGUAGUAACUUGUUCUCGCACCGGAAAGCUCAGAGCGGCCACGCCGUAAAACCCCAACUUUUUUCAGGUUGACCUCGAAUCAGGUAGGACUACCCGCUGAACUUAAGCAUA